CUCCUCUUGGUGCCUUUUCCACGCUGGGCGGUUUUUCCAGAACAUUCCAUGGAUUUCCGUGGUCAGGAUCCACCAAUCACGGAUCAUCUCCUGAUGGUUUUUUCCUUGCCACGCGGUUUUUCCAGAACGUUCCAUGGAUUUCCAUGGUCGCAUCCGUCCCUCUUCCAUCCCCUCCUGGUGGUUUUUCCGGAACGUUCCGUGGAUUUCCAGGAUCCAUCUCUCAUCCCUCUUCCGUCAUCUCUUGACGUCCUCGGUGCUGGGCACCCCCUCGUGGCAUCUCCACCCUCUGUCACCUCCUGGUGUCACCUCCCGGUGUCCCACAAUGUCCCUCAGUGUCCCCAGAUGUCCCCUGGUGACCCUGAUGUUCUUGAUGUCCCCCAGUGUCCCCAGUGAUGUCCCCAGUGAUGUCCCCCUGUCCCCUGACUAUGUCAUUGAUGUCUACGCUGUCCCCUGAUGAUGUCAUUGAUAAACCCCCUGUCCCCUGAUGAUGUCAUCAAUGUCCCCACUGUCCUAAUGAUGUCCCCACUGACGUCCCUGCUGUCCCCUGAUGAUGUCAUCAAUGUCCUCACUGUCCUGACGAUGUCCCCAGUGACGUUUCCACUGUCCCCUGAUGAUGUCAUCGAUGAACCCCCUGUCCCCUUAUGAUGUCAUCGAUGUCCCCACUGUCCCAAUGUCCCCAGUGACGUUCCCGCUGUCCCAGUGAUGUCAUCAAUGUCCUCACUGUCCUGACGAUGUCCCCAGUGACGUUUCCACUGUCCCCUGAUGAUGUCAUCGAUGAACCCCCUGUCCCCUUAUGAUGUCAUCGAUGUCCCCACUGUCCCCCAAUGAUGUUAUCGAUGCCCCCGCUGUCCCCCGAUGGUGUCAUUGAUGAACCCCCCUGUCCCCUGAUGAUGUCAUCGAUGCCCCCACUGUCCCCACCACGUCCCCAGUGACGUCCCCCCGUCCCCGCAGCCGACAUCGCGCGCAACAUGGGCGCCAAGACGGUGAUCGCCAUCGACGUGGGCAGCCAGGACGAGACCGACCUGUGCAACUACGGCGACUCGCUGUCCGGCUGGUGGCUGCUCUGGACACGGCUCAACCCCUGGGCCGAGAAGGUCAAGGUGCCGGACAUGGCGGAGAUCCAGUCGCGCCUGGCCUACGUGUCGUGCGUGCGGCAGCUCGAGGUGGUCAAGUCCAGCUCGUACUGCGAGUACAUCCGGCCACCCAUCGACCGCUUCAAGACCAUGGACUUCGGCAAGUUCGACGAGAUCUACGACGUUGGCUACCAGCACGGCAAGCUGGUAUUCGAGGGCUGGAGCCGCGGGGACGUCAUCGAGAAGAUGGUGAAGGAUCGGCGCUCGGCCGACUUCUACGAGAGCAAGCGCAUGGACGUGAGCUGGGGACACCUGGGGACACCUGGGGACACCUGGGGGACACCUGGGGACACUGGGCGUGUGACACACCUGGGGACACCUGGGGGACACCUGGGGACACCUGGGGACACCUGGGGACACUUGGGGACACCUGGGGACACCUGGGGACAGUGGUGGCACUCCCUGGGGACAAUAGUGACACUCCUGGGGGACACCUGGGGACACCUGGGGACACCCUGGGGACACUGGGGACACCUGGGGGACACUUGGGGGACACCUGGGGACACUGGGGACAGUGGUGGCACUCCCUGGGGACAAUAGUGACACUCUUGGGGGACACCUGGGGACACCUGGGGACACCUGGGGACAUGGCAGGGACACGGGAUGGUGGCUCAUUGGGGACCUGCCCUGGGCCACCCCAGCCUUGUCACCUCUCGAGUGACCUUCACUCGACUGACUGUGACUGUCACUGUGACUGUCACUGUCACCCUCUGUCCCCUCUCCUGUCCCUCCCUUUGUCCCCUGCCCCGUCGGUCCCUUCUGUGUCCCUCUCCUCUCACCUCUGUCGCCUCUGG
rnacentral:lncRNA from 12 species